UUUUUGCAUUGGCAGCUAAAAGGAAGGGGUUCGAGGUGUUGGUUUUUGAGAAGGAUACGAGUGCAAUAAGAGGAGAAGGACAAUAUAGAGGUCCGAUUCAGAUACAGAGCAAUGCAUUAGCUGCUUUGGAGGCUAUUGAUUUAGAGGUUGCUGAAGAGGUUAUGAAAGCUGGGUGUAUCACUGGUGAUAGGAUUAAUGGGCUUGUUGAUGGGGUUUCUGGUACUUGGUACGUCAAGUUUGAUACCUUCACUCCUGCG
rnacentral:misc_RNA from 1 species